AAAAAGACAAACACUGGGUUUCCGUGUCCAAGUUUUAUCAUCCGUCUUAUUUGAAAAAAUUACGAAAAAAAUUAAAAAGACAAGUCACGCAUAAAGUAUUAACCAUGUUUUAUCAUCUAACAACAAUGAAAAUACUAAUUAUAAAAAAAUUUCAUAUAAGACGAACAGUCAAAUGUUGGACACGGAAACCCAGGGUUUGUCUUUUU
rnacentral:pre_miRNA from 1 species